rnacentral:rRNA from 1 species
AGUAACACGUGAAUGAUCUACCUCCGAGUUGGGGAAUAACAGAGAGAAAUCUUAGCUAAUACCGCAUAAUACCCACGGGUCAAAGCAGCAAUGCGCUUGGAGAGGAGUUCGCGGCGAUUAGCUAGUUGGCGGGGUAAUGGCCCACCAAGGCGAUGAUCGGUAUCCGGCCUGAGAGGGCGCACGGACACACUGGAACUGAAACACGGUCUAACUCCUACGGGAGGCAGCAGUGGGGAAUUUUGCGCAAUGGGGGAAACCCUGACGCAGCAACGCCGCGUGGAGGAUGAAAUCCCUUGGGAUGUAAACUCCUUUCGAUAGGGAAGAUAAUGACGGUACCUAUAGAAGAAGCCCCGGCUAACUUCGUGCCAGCAGCCGCGGUAAUACGAGGGGGGCAAGCGUUGUUCGGAAUUAUUGGGCGUAAAGGGUGCGUAGGCGGUUUGACAAGUCUGAUGUGAAAUCUAUGGGCUCAACCCAUAGUCUGCAUCGGAAACUGUCGGGCUUGAGUAUGGGAGAG